GUGGACCGUCCCUCCACUCAUCGACCAGUCAGGAGAGCGGACCUAUUAGACUCAACAUCAACACACUGUUAUUUCAUUGUAUAAAUUGGAUGUAUACUAUGUUUCGGGGCUCUCUUCUGCUAGUUCCCUAUGAGCUAAACGAAGGAGUCCGUGCACGCUUUGCCAAAUAUCUUUGUCUCAUAAUAAACUGCCUUACUAUAAACUGAAUCACCCGGUCCAGCGUCUUGACUUGUCUCCUUCUCAAAUAACUAAUCAUCAACAGAAUUGGUAGCAGAGGAUGGUUUCAAACUCCUGAAUUCGGUCCAUUAAUGGUUGAUGUGAGAAGAGACAAGUCCAGGACAAUCUUGUAAGGACGGGUGACCUGUCCGCAGGAGUCAUCGGCGAUUCUGCUUGCCCCGGGAAACUGAUCAACGAGCUCGAUUAAAAAAAAGAUCCGCAAGGUCAAAGAGGGGGAGCUGUUGGGAGACUCGCCACCACUGAAGGUAAAAGUUGGGGACUGGGUGAGGGUCAAAGUCCACAAGAGAAAGUGGCUGGAACCCAGGUGGACUGGGCUGUACGAAGUGAAGGAAGUUACUUCACACUCUGUCCAGGUCAAAGGUAAAUCAGGAGCACCUUGGCACCACCUUACACAUUGCACUCCAGCCCCAACCCCUUCCAGAACUUUGACUGAAACCAGGGCCGAUUUGCGCGCCCUACAUAAAUUUGAUUCCAACCACUGAAACCUUAGUUGGGGAAAAUGGGACAAUGGCUUCCGUUUCCACGACCUAAGGCACCACGCCCAGGGUCGGGGUACAUCCCUCCCUGGGAGAGGCUGGG
rnacentral:lncRNA from 1 species